rnacentral:tRNA from 1 species
GGGCCUGUAGCUCAGCCUGGAUAGAGCGAAUGUCUCCUAAGCAUUAGGUCGGGGGUUCGAAUCCCCCCAGGCCCG